CUCCGGUUGCCACGCCGUCCGUGACGGUGCUGCCGCCCUCCCUGCACGACCUCUACCUGUCCACCCAGCCCAACCUCACCUGCGUGGCCACCAACCUCCCCUCCCCCGACGGCGUCGAGUUCACCUGGAGCCGCACGGGGGGCGGGGCCUCGCCGGUGGGCGGGGCCACUUCCGGCCCCGCCCGGAAGCUGCCCUUUUUCUACGAGCUCCGGAACGUUCUGGGGAUCUGCGCCGAGGAUUGGAACUCGGGCGACGAGUUCACGUGCGCCGUGAGCGCCGGGCGACGGCACGAGGCGAUGGCGGCCAGCGUCAAAAAGGACACGGGCGUCCAGGCCGUGGCUCCCAAGGUUUUCGUGUUCCCCCCGCCCGCCGAGGACCUGGCGCGCGGCGAGUCGGCCAUCUUGACCUGCCUGGCCAGCGGCUUCCGCCCGCGCGACGUCCUCGUCACCUGGACGCAGCAGGACGCGCCGGUGCCGCCCGAGAGGUUCUCGGUGCUGGGCCCGGCGCCGGACGCUCCGGAAGGUUCCGGGAGGUUCUCGGUCUACUCCAAGCUGGAGGUGCCGGCGGAGGAGUGGCGGCGCGGCGACGUCUUCGGGUGCGUGGUGGGACACGAGGGCGCGGGCCUGAGGUUCAUCCAGAGGAACCUGGACAGGUCCAUGGCCCGGCCGGCCAGCGUCAACGUCUCGGUGAUUCUGGCCGACUCCGACACCGUCUGUUAUUGA